rnacentral:rRNA from 1 species
GAUAAACGCUGGCGGCGUGCCUAAUACAUGCAAGUCGAGCGAACGGACGAGAAGCUUGCUUCUCUGAUGUUAGCGGCGGACGGGUGAGUAACACGUGGAUAACCUACCUAUAAGACUGGGAUAACUUCGGGAAACCGGAGCUAAUACCGGAUAAUAUUUUGAACCGCAUGGUUCAAAAGUGAAAGACGGUCUUGCUGUCACUUAUAGAUGGAUCCGCGCUGCAUUAGCUAGUUGGUAAGGUAACGGCUUACCAAGGCAACGAUGCAUAGCCGACCUGAGAGGGUGAUCGGCCACACUGGAACUGAGACACGGUCCAGACUCCUACGGGAGGCAGCAGUAGGGAAUCUUCCGCAAUGGGCGAAAGCCUGACGGAGCAACGCCGCGUGAGUGAUGAAGGUCUUCGGAUCGUAAAACUCUGUUAUUAGGGAAGAACAUAUGUGUAAGUAACUGUGCACAUCUUGACGGUACCUAAUCAGAAAGCCACGGCUAACUACGUGCCAGCAGCCGCGGUAAUACGUAGGUGGCAAGCGUUAUCCGGAAUUAUUGGGCGUAAAGCGCGCGUAGGCGGUUUUUUAAGUCUGAUGUGAAAGCCCACGGCUCAACCGUGGAGGGUCAUUGGAAACUGGAAAACUUGAGUGCAGAAGAGGAAAGUGGAAUUCCAUGUGUAGCGGUGAAAUGCGCAGAGAUAUGGAGGAACACCAGUGGCGAAGGCGACUUUCUGGUCUGUAACUGACGCUGAUGUGCGAAAGCGUGGGGAUCAAACAGGAUUAGAUACCCUGGUAGUCCACGCCGUAAACGAUGAGUGCUAAGUGUUAGGGGGUUUCCGCCCCUUAGUGCUGCAGCUAACGCAUUAAGCACUCCGCCUGGGGAGUACGACCGCAAGGUUGAAACUCAAAGGAAUUGACGGGGACCCGCACAAGCGGUGGAGCAUGUGGUUUAAUUCGAAGCAACGCGAAGAACCUUACCAAAUCUUGACAUCCUUUGACAACUCUAGAGAUAGAGCCUUCCCCUUCGGGGGACAAAGUGACAGGUGGUGCAUGGUUGUCGUCAGCUCGUGUCGUGAGAUGUUGGGUUAAGUCCCGCAACGAGCGCAACCCUUAAGCUUAGUUGCCAUCAUUAAGUUGGGCACUCUAAGUUGACUGCCGGUGACAAACCGGAGGAAGGUGGGGAUGACGUCAAAUCAUCAUGCCCCUUAUGAUUUGGGCUACACACGUGCUACAAUGGACAAUACAAAGGGCAGCGAAACCGCGAGGUCAAGCAAAUCCCAUAAAGUUGUUCUCAGUUCGGAUUGUAGUCUGCAACUCGACUACAUGAAGCUGGAAUCGCUAGUAAUCGUAGAUCAGCAUGCUACGGUGAGUACGUUCCCGGGUCU